UACGUAGGGUGCAAGCGUUGUCCGGAAUUAUUAGGCGUAAAGGGCUCGUAGGCGGUCCAUCGCGUCGGGAGUGAAAAGCUGGGGCUUAACCCCAGUCCUGCUUCCGAUACGGGUGGACUAGAGGUAGGUAGGGGAGAACGGAAUUCCUGGUGUAGCGGUGAAAUGCGCAGAUAUCAGGAGGAACACCGGUGGCGAAGGCGGUUCUCUGGGCCUUACCUGACGCUGAGGAGCGAAAGCAUGGGGAGCAAACAGG
rnacentral:rRNA from 1 species